rnacentral:rRNA from 1 species
UACGGGGGGAGCAAGCGUUGUUCGGAUUUACUGGGCGUAAAGGGCGCGUAGGCGGCCUCCGCAAGUCAAUUGUGAAAUCUCCGGGCUUAACUCGGAAAGGUCAACUGAUACUGCGGGGCUAGAGUGCGGAAGGGGCAACUGGAAUUCUUGGUGUAGCGGUGAAAUGCGUAGAUAUCAAGAGGAACACCGGUGGCGAAAGCGACCUUCUGGUCCGUUCCUGACGCUGAGGUGCGAGAGCUAGGGGAGCAAACGGG